CGAUCCUUGUCAAAGCUUUUGCACGGGCUGGACGAACCAUUUUUGGGGCUUCCUUUCAAGAAGAACGUGUCAGGUAUCGCGACAAACUCUUACGACUUGUAAAAGAUCACUAUUUAGAUCCACUGUGCGUGCGUGUUGAUCAGUCUUUGCGACUU
rnacentral:ribozyme from 1 species